rnacentral:rRNA from 1 species
UACAGAGGGUGCGAACGUUGCUCGGAAUUACUGGGCGUAAAGCGCGUGUAGGCGGGUCGCAAGUCAGGCGUGAAAUCCCCAGGCUCAACCUGGGAACUGCGCUUGAAACUGCCGGUCUUGAGUAUCGGAGAGGGUGGCGGAAUUCCUGGUGUAGAGGUGAAAUUCGUAGAUAUCAGGAGGAACACCGGUGGCGAAGGCGGCCACCUGGACGAUAACUGACGCUGAGACGCGAAAGCGUGGGGAGCAAACAGG